rnacentral:rRNA from 1 species
GACGAACGCUGGCGGCGUGCUUAACACAUGCAAGUCGAACGGAAAGGCCCUGCUUUUGUUGGGUGCUCGAGUGGCGAACGGGUGAGUAACACGUGAGUAACCUGCCCUUGACUUUGGGAUAACUUCAGGAAACUGGGGCUAAUACCGGAUAGGAGCUCCUGCUGCAUGGUGGGGGUUGGAAAGUUUCGGCGGUUGGGGAUGGACUCGCGGCUUAUCAGCUGGUUGGUGGGGUAGUGGCUUACCAAGGCUUUGACGGGUAGCCGGCCUGGGAGGGUGACCGGCCACAUUGGGACUGAGAUACGGACCAGACUCCUACGGGAGGCAGCAGUGGGGAAUAUUGCACAAUGGGCGGAAGCCUGAUGCAGCAACGCCGCGUGCGGGAUGCCGGCCUUCGGGUUGUAAACCGCUUUCGCCUGUGACGAAGCGUGAGUGACGGUAAUGGGUAAAGAAGCACCGGCUAACUACGUG